GUGGCCCACAGGCGCACGAACACCGCUAUAGUUUGGGCGCAAGUCUCGGAGCCGCUUCGACGGUGAACGGCUCACAACGGGAUAAAGUUUGCUUUUGUUUUCCCUUUUGCUUUCCGUAAAGCCUGUUCGAGCCGGAUAAAUAGGACAAAUCUGCAGGCACGGGUGGCGGAAACAUGGAGGAGUCUAAAGUUGAACAACUGGCUAGCAAAACUGAGGAGCAUCAGCAAGAGAUAAGGUCCCUGGAAGAAGAAAUUAAAGAGCUAAGGCGCUUCAUAACUCUUUGCAGAAGGAGUUUGCAUCUAAACAACGUGAAGCUUAUGAACUGGAGAGAAUCCUCCAAGAGAAAGAAGAGACGAACAGGAUCCUGGCAGUUCCAGUGGUGACGAGUCAGAGCAGGAAUGUUUCAGGCAGUUGCAGCUGAAAACAAGAAAACUGAGGAGCGGUUGGAAAAGUACAGUGUGAAAUCCAGGAAUUCAAGCUUAAACACCGAAAGCAGCGAAUGAAGUUUGAAAACAGCCUUCAUCAGCUGAUAGAGCAGCAUAAGAAUCUGCACUCUGUCUUUACCCCGGAGAGACUUCCGCAUGAAAUCGAGAGAGUUGAAAACGCAACACGACAGCUGUUAGCAGUCGAACAAGUUAAGUUGGCUCAGCUGCACCACCUGGAUGAGGAGCUGGAACAGAUGAAGCUGAAGCAACAAGGGGCAGCAGCAGCACAGACUCAGGGCUAGAGCUACAUAAAGUUUUAGAGAAGCAGUAAUAAUCCUUCAUUCUACUCCCACCAGGACACAUUUUCACUGCAUAUGUAAGAAACAUCUUUGCCUGCCAAACCCUAUUUAUUUGCCAAGCCCUUGACUCUUUUGAAUGGUUGGUUUUGAUGUUAAUUGUUCUAUAAAGCUAGAGAUGCUGCGCUAAAAAAGGCAGUUGGUAUCCACUUUGUUUGCUGUCAUCCUUGCUCCAUUUCAUAUCAUACAAAGUCUAAGAAUUUGGAUCAGUUCACACAAAGCAGGUUACGUAUUUAACAUAUUCUUACAAGGUAAACAGCAAACAAUAAACAUUUUAUUUACUGAUACCUGGGUAUUUACUGCUUACUGAUAUUUACUGUUCUUGAUUGUUGAACUAGUCUGUUAUAGGCCAUAUAGUUAUUAUUGUGUGCGGUAUUUAUUUGCACCAUUAUUAGUUAUUUUGUAUUGAGACAAUGUAAAGGUGUUCAUAUAAGAAACUGAAUACAGUUUAUUCUCAGUGUUUUC